AUCCUUCCUUUUUUUUUUUUUUGGGGGGGGGGGGGAUCAAUCGAUGCCUUUCCCUGAUUUUGGUACAAUUUUCUUCAUUCCUAUUUGCUCGCUUAUGGUGUUCAUCUACUUUGGUUGUUAGUCUACUUGGCGUGCUUCAGGCUGUGAUGAGAGCAGAAAUCGCCAAGUCAGUCAGUUUUCCUGAAGCUGCAGCUCCUGGCUGUGGGUCUCAACUUGCUCUGAAAGUAGCGGUAGAUAUCCAGAUGACUUAUUAGCUAUUAGAAUGGGCAGAAGGGAAAAGAACAUUAUAUGGGCAGAUCAGAGAAACGGGAAAGCAACACCUAGUUAUUUAUAAUGCAUACAGCAAUUGUAUCAUGGUUCAGCCAGAGUUGUUCAUCGACCAUUUUUUUUUUGGUCGAAACACAAUUGUUAUUUUAUUCUGGGUUUGUGAAGCAAUGGCAAAGCCUUCAAAUUUUUGAA